rnacentral:rRNA from 1 species
ACGUAGGUGGCAAGCGUUGUCCGGAUUUAUUGGGUUUAAAGGGUGCGUAGGCGGUCCUCUAAGUCAGUUGUGAAAUACGGCAGCUUAACUGUCGAGGUGCAAUUGAUACUGGAGGACUUGAGUACUGAUGAGGUAGGCGGAAUGGACGGUGUAGCGGUGAAAUGCGUAGAGAUCCGGAAGAACACCGGUGGCGAAGGCGGCCUGCUGGGCAGUAGCUGACACUGAGGCGCGACAGCGUGGGGAGCAAACAGGA